CUUAGCAUUGGGUCACCGUUGGCCCGGGCCUCCUUUGUGACACUGCCCAGAUGAGGCUUCCAGUAAUUCAAAUGGUGAAGAAGAGCUGAGAAUUCAUUUAUCGUCCCCUGAAUGCUUAAUGUUGCGUUCCACCUGCUAUUAAAGAAAAGCCAUUCACAGGAGCACGCUGAACCGUAGCAUCAUCUGAAUUCAGAGGAAACUCACGGAACCUGAAAGUUGCGACCUUGAACAGAAUGACAAGCCACAUUUCCUGGGCCUUCUCAGAGGAGAGACGCUUCAGCACAGUGCUCGGCACAGAGAGGACCGGAGGUAGGGAAGAUUCGCCAGCUGGCCAACCAGCAUCCAUAACUCCAAGGAAAACUUAAAAAAACCUGAAGGCCAGCCCUCACCAAGCUGCCAAAAUUCUCUGGACACACUUCUUAAAUGGACCCAAGGUGCUUCUCCAUCACAGAUCCUCAGUAAGGUUGGACCAUCUCUAAAGGCAGAGAAAAGACAGAGGAAAGAGGAGACGAAUGGCUUCCUGAGAGAAGAAUUUGCAUUAUAAAAAAGAAAAUCCUGAGACUGCUGCAAAUCCCUCUUGUAAAUCUGAAUAAAAAACACCAUCCUUUCUUCAAAAGAAUCUAAAAUGGAGUCCUCCACAGACUUUUCACCAAACUCCAUUUUGUCUUCAACAACCUAAUUCCUGUGCAUUUUCAAAAUGUAUGGAUUAAUUA